AUUCAACGUGUUGUAGGAAUGUAGAAAUAUUGUAAGUUAUUAUUCUAAGCAUAUCCAGACAUCGAGAGGCCUACCCAGAUACAUUACCAUCAUAAUGUAAUUUAUACACAUACUGUAAUUUACACACAUAUGGUUUUAAGUCAAGAAUGAUGGAUGGAGACUUGUGGACCCUGUUGAUAAUAACCUUUGACCUAGCCUUGUAAGCCUGAAUUCCUGUGAAGGUUCACAUUUCUAUAGGCAAUCAUUCAUUCCAUCAGGUAAUUAGAAGUCUCAAGAAGGUCUUUGUGUGUAACUUACCAAAACAUCAUAACGUAUGGCUUUAAUCAUAGAUAUCGAAUAAUACUAAGUUACCACCUAUUUUUUCUUAGAUAACCAAUUAUUGUAAAGCAGGCAAACCUUAUGUCAUUAUGUAUACGCCCUAUGUAAUUGAAUUUUAAAUGUAUAAAAUCCAUUGCAGCUAGAAUUCCAAUAGUAACACCAACGACCAAUACCUUUUAACAUCAAGCUUGGAUAAGAUCUAGAAGUGAAUAUACAUUGUAUAUUGGUCCAUAUGAUUUUAAAACAGACUUUUGUUGUUACCGGAUGAUGUGUAUAUUGUAAUAAAUAUACGGUUUUAACUGCAAGACACUCUGAUUCGAUUUGUUCAGAAAACUGGAAAACAAAUAUCUCACGGAAUGCAAAUUUCCUACAC